CGAACGGGUGAGUAACACGUGAGUAACCUGCCCCCGACUCUGGAAUAACCGUGGGAAACGACGGCUAAUACCGGAUAUGAGACGCACGGGCAUCUGUGUGUCUGGAAAGAUUUAUCGGUCAGGGAUGGACUCGCGGCCUAUCAGCUUGUUGGUGGGGUAAUGGCCUACCAAGGCGACGACGGGUAGCCGGCCUGAGAGGGCGACCGGCCACACUGGGACUGAGAUACGGCCCAG
rnacentral:rRNA from 1 species